UUGGAAGCUGGUCCCUGCAAUGGUUA
rnacentral:piRNA from 1 species